AGAAUAAUAACACAGUUAUGCUAAAAGAAUAAAAAAUAAUAUAUAUGAGCAAUUACAUUGAACCACACGAAGUAAAGGUUGGAAAUGAGAAGAAAGGAAAUGAAAGAUAAAUAAUAUAAAAACUAUUUUAAAAAUAAAAAUAAUUAAAAAGUGAAAAUAAAAAAGAAAUUAAAUAAUAGAAAUAAAACCGAAUAAAAGAAGAACAGAAAUUAAAAUAAAACAACAAAAAAAACUAAAAAGUAAUCAUGUAAUUACAGAGUGUAAUUGCACUCAAUUCUCAGCCCCCCUUGAGAAUUGGAGAGUGUAAUUACACCCCCUGAAUUACACUCAAUUUCCACCAAAUCAAAUAAUUACUUGAUAAAACAAACAGGCUAAACUCUGUAAUUAUAUCCGAUGACGCCCAAUUCCAAUUACAUAGUGGCUUUCCAAACAGUUGUACCAAGCAAAUCUUAUUUCACUGUACGCCAAAAAAAAAAAAAUUGCUUAGAUGUCCCCGGGCAACAACUAGUAAUUCUCUUUUUCACCUUAAAAACCACUCGUUUUCCCUGGGUAUACGCUCGUUUGCUUAUCUCCAAAGCUAACCGUUGUUCCUCUCAAGCAAAGGUGAGAAAGAGGCGGGCAACCAAAUGGCUCCCAAGAACUUGACGUUCAAGAUAAUCCUGGGUUCGUCCUCCAUGGCACGUCGAAAAAUUCUAGCUGACAUGGGUUAUGAAUUUGCACUUAUGACUGCUGACAUUGAUGAAAAGAGCAUUAGGAAGGAUAAUGCAGAGGAAUUAGUGGUAGCUCUAGCUGAGGCAAAGGCAGAUGCUAUUAUGUCAAGGCUCAAAACAACUGAUCACUUGAAGGAAAAUACACAUCCCACUCUGUUAAUUACUGCAGACACAGUGGCGCUAUACCAAGGAAUUAUCAGAGAAAAGCCAUCAAGCUAUUCUGGUGGUCAAGCCACGGUUGUGGGAUCUGUUGUUGUGACCAACCUGACAAAGGGGAUAAGAAAAGGAGCUUGGGAAAGGUAUAUUUCCAUGACAUACCAGAUGAGGUCAUUGAUAGCCUGAUUGAGGAGGGAAUAAUACUUAAUGUUGCUGGUGGCUUAAUGCUUGAACAUCCACUGACGUUGCCCUUCGUUGACACUGUGAUUGGAACUGCUGACAGUGUCAUGGGACUCCCUAGAAGUCUCACUGAAAAGCUUAUU